rnacentral:tmRNA from 1 species
GGGGACGACCUGGUUUCGACGUGGGUUGCAAAGCAGAGCAGGGCAUACCGAGGGCUGGUUACCUCGUAAAUACACCCAGAAAAAACUUAACUGCAAACGAUAACUCGUACGCACUGGCAGCUUAAUUGCUGUUAGCUCCACAACACCUCGUCCCUGGGGUGGGCCGUUAAAAGCUGUGGAGUCAUUUACAGGGACUCGCGCUGUGAGGGGUCACUUCAAUCAGCGCUAAAUCUAAGGUGAAUCGCUAGUCCAAAACGUGCACGUCCGUGUUGUACUGGUUAAAUUAAAUGAUAGUGCUAAGUAUGUAGAACUGUCUGUGGAGUGCUUGCGGACGCGGGUUCGAUUCCCGCCGUCUCCACCA